GAUGAACGCUGGCGGCGUGCCUAAUACAUGCAAGUCGAGCGAACAGACGAGGAGCUUGCUCCUCUGACGUUAGCGGCGGACGGGUGAGUAACACGUGGAUAACCUACCUAUAAGACUGGGAUAACUUCGGGAAACCGGAGCUAAUACCGGAUAAUAUAUUUAACCGCAUGGUUCAAUAGUGAAAGACGGUUUUGCUGUCACUUAUAGAUGGAUCCGCGCCGCAUUAGCUAGUUGGUAAGGUAACGGCUACCAAGGCGACGAUGCGUAGCCGACCUGAGAGGGUGAUCGGCCACACUGGAACUGAGACACGGUCCAGACUCCUACGGGAGGCAGCAGUAGGGAAUCUUCCGCAAUGGGCGAAAGCCUGACGGAGCAACGCCGCGUGAGUGAUGAAGGUCUUCGGAUCGUAAAACUCUGUUAUUAGGGAAGAACAAAUGUGUAAGUAACUAUGCACGUCUUGACGGUACCUAAUCAGAAAGCCACGGCUAACUACGUG
rnacentral:rRNA from 1 species